ensembl:lncRNA
AUUGUUGUCUGUGGAGCUGAUUCUGACUCUUGCUGGGUCUGGUUCCGGCCAGUCAGGGGCUUGCUUCUUGCUUGCCCCAUAGUAGGUGCUCAGUAAAUUCCUGCAGCGUGAAUGAACAGCAAGUACUGAUAACAGCCGGGGCGCCGGGCUGGGGUCCACACUCCCUGCAGGGGAGAGAGCCAGCAGGGCGGGUCGGGGUGCCUCCCAGCCCCAGUGGCUUGCUUUUUCUCUGUUCCAGUUCCAGGAGAAUGUCUCUGGAAAGGAAGCCCAAAGCCCGGUUUGGCUGGGAAGAGGCGGGCAGGGAGGGGAGCAGGGGCCGGGCGGGCCUGGGGAGGAAGUCUGCAGCCCUAGGCUGCCGAGGGCGCGGCGUCUGUGUUCGCACCUUUGGAAUGUGGCUGAUUCACUCUGGGGGGAGGCAGGCAGCCACUGCUGCCGCCGGCUGCCGCCACCGACUCGGAUCCGACAUCUGGAGGCUGGAUUCCAGGAGGAGAGAUGGAGUCUUGCAGGCAGAUGUCAGCUUUGAAGGUCAAAGUGAGCAAGGGAGCCAAGGAGGAAGAGGCUGCCAGGGUCCCACGCUUCCCCACCCAGGAUUCUGGGAGAGAGAGUUGUGCAUCCGUCUCCAGCAUCUAAUUCCAGAACAUUUUUAUCAUCCCCCCAAAGGAAGCCCAGCAGAUUCAUCAACUGUGAGGAAGCUGAGGCUCAGAGAGCAGAGCUUUGCCCACUGUUACUGCACAGUAGAUGUUGCUGACUCUUCAAACAAGGACCAUGCACACCUGAAGUCCCAGAAGUCCUCUGUGAUCUGUCAAGAUGGGGUUCUCGCCCUACACAUCCUUCAGCUGCCCUCUUGCACCUGGCCUUACCUGGGCAGGGCUGGACCCCUGGGACCAGAUGGAGGGACCACAGGAUAAGGGCUUGAGGAUGGUGUACAGGAGCCGACAGCCCACGACGACGGGACCUCAGUCCUACAGCCGCAGGAACUGAAUCCUGCUGACAACCAGUGAGUUUGGAAAACCAUCCAAGGCCCUGAUGAGAUUGCAGCCCUGCCAAUGCCUCAGUUUCACUCGGCAGGACUUUGAGCUGAGAGCCCAGCCAUGCCACGUCUGGCAAUGAUAAAUGGUACUGUUCGUGUCCGACUCUGCAACCCUGUAGACAGCAGCCCACCAGGCUCCUCCGUCCCUGGGAUUCUCCAGGCGAGAACACUGGAGUGGGUUGCCAUUUCCUUCUCCAGUGCAUGAAAGCGAAAAGUGAAAGUGAAGUUGCUCAGUCAUGUCAGACUCUUCGUGGCCCCAUGGACUGCAGCCUACCAGGCUCCUCCAUCCAUGGGAUUUUCCAGGCAAGAGUACUGGAGUGGGGUACCAUCGCCUUCUCCAUUUCAAGCCAAUACAUUGAUGGAAAUCUUAUGUGGCAACAGGGAAUAAGUCCAUCAUCGUUCCAAAGAGGAGAACAGUAUUCUAGAUGCAAAUGUAGGAUAAAAGUUUAAAACUGAGAAAAACCCGUCCCCUGCUCCUCGGGCGCUCUGUAAAGUGGAAACCUGCCACAGCCUCUGUGCUGAUGGUCCCCCCUCCUGCCCUCCUGGCUGCAGUUUAAAUCCAUGGUCUUAGGGCUCACGUCUCUCGCCUGAGCUUACAACCAGCCUCAGAGGAGGGCAAGUGUGUUCUGGAAAGGGUAGCACUGAUGGCACCUUGAGGGCAGUCACAUCCCACUGUGGCUGAAGAAAGAUGCUCUGGAACCCUUUGCUUUAGGAGAUCCCUGAGGUUUCUGGGGCUCCUGGGACUUCUGGAAAUCUUCAGGGUCAACAAAGCUAUUUUUUUAAAGAAAUACAGCUGUUUAAUUUAAUAGCUUUAUUAUAUAUAAUUCACCCAUCUAAAGUGUAAAAUUAAGUGGGUUUUUUUGAAUACAACCAGUUUUGUAACCAUCACCACAAUCGAUUGAGAAGAUUUUAUCACUCCCCCCAAAGAAACUCUGUACCCUAGCACCCACCCUCCAUUUCCCCCUGACUCCCCCUCAUUCCCUUCAGUUCAGUUCAGUUCAGUUCAGUCGCUCAGUCGUGUCUGACUCUUUUCGACCCCAUGGACUGCAGCACGCCAGGCCUCCCUGUCCAUCACCAACUCCCAGAGUUUACUCAAAUUCAUGUUUGAGUCGGCGAUGACAUCCAACCAUCUCAUCCUCUGUCAUACCCUUCUCCUCCUGCCUUCAAUCUUUCCCAGCAUCAGGGUCUUUUCAAAUGAGUCAGUUCUUCACAUCAGGUGGCCAAAGUUUUGGAGUUUCAGCUUCAACAUCAGUCUUUCCUAUGGAUAUUCAGGACUGAUUUCCUUUAGGAUGGACUGGUUGGAUCUCCUUGCAGUCCAAGGGACUCUCAAGAGUCUUCCCCAACACCACAGUUCAAAAGCAUCAAUUCUUUGGCACUCAGCUUUCUUUAUAGUCCAACUCUCACAUCCAUACAUGACCACUGGAAAAACCAUAGCCUUGACUAUAUAGACCUUUGUUGGCAAAGUAAUGUCUCUGCCUCAUUCCCUGGCAACCACUAAUCCACUUUCUACCUCUGUGGAUUUGCCUAUUCCAGACACUUCAUAGAAAUGAAAUCCUACGAUAUGCAGCCUUUUAUGUCUGGCUUCUCUCACUGGUCGUCACGUUGUCAAAGUUCAUCCACCUUGUGCCAUGUAUCAGUACUUCAUCCCUUUACAUGCUGAGCAACUCUUCACUGGGUGAAUAGACCAUGGCUUCUGUAUCCAGUCAUCAAAAGAGCCUGUUGCUCAUCACUCUUCCUACCUGGAAUCUGGGAG